rnacentral:tRNA from 1 species
GAUAUAGAAAGGAAUUGAACCAAUAUAAAUAGGACUACAGCCUAUCGCCUAGCAUUCGGCCACUCUACCU